rnacentral:rRNA from 1 species
UACGAAGGGUGCAAGCGUUGUCCGGAAUUAUUGGGCGUAAAGAGCUCGUAGGCGGUCUGUCGCGUCGGCUGUGAAAACUCGGGGCUCAACCCCGAGCCUGCAGUCGAUACGGGCAGACUAGAGUGCUGUAGGGGAGACUGGAAUUCCUGGUGUAGCGGUGAAAUGCGCAGAUAUCAGGAGGAACACCGGUGGCGAAGGCGGGUCUCUGGGCAGUAACUGACGCUGAGGAGCGAAAGCGUGGGGAGCGAACAGG